AAUGGGGGCAACCCUGACGCAGCAACGCCGCGUGAGUGAGGAAGGUUUUCGGACUGUAAAGCUCUGUCGAGCGGGAAGAAGUGCUUGGUGGCUAAUAUCCAUCAAGCUUGACGGUACCGCUAAAGGAAGCACCGGCUAACUCCGUGCCAGCAGCCGCGGUAAUACGGGGGGUGCAAGCGUUGUUCGGAAUUAUUGGGCGUAAAGAGCGUGUAGGCGGCUGGAUAAGUCAGAUGUGAAAUCCCUGGGCUUAACCCAGGACGUGCAUUUGAAACUAUCCAGCUUGAGUAAGGGAGAGGAAAGUGGAAUUCCUGGUGUAGAGGUGAAAUUCGUAGAUAUCAGGAGGAACACCGGUGGCGAAGGCGACUUUCUGGCCCUAUACUGACGCUGAGACGCGAGAGCGUGGGUAGCAAA
rnacentral:rRNA from 1 species